AUGAUCCCAACUCAGAGACCUGCAGUGACAAACAUUGAACGGGUGUCAGAUCUUAUAGACACACGAAGCUGGUCCUGGAAGAUUGAUGUGAUCAGAGACAAUUUUACUGCUCAGGAUGCCACAGCCAUACUAAAUAUCCCAAUCAGGCAAGGCGGGGGCGAGGAUUUUCUUGCAUGGGCAUUUGACAAAUCAGGUAACUACACUGUUAAAACGGCGUACCGUACUCUCGUGACUCAUAACGAGCAUUUGGCUCUAGAGGAAAGGACGGUUACCGAAGCUUCAUCGGACGAUCAACAGCUGUGGAAAGCCUUAUGGAAGUUAAAUGUUAUCCCAAAAGUAAGAGUGUUCUGGUGGAGAGUGUUACGUGGCAUUCUUCCAGAUGAAACUACCCUUAACUAUCGUCACAUUGCGGAUGCUCGGCAAUGCAAUGUCUGUCGCUCCAUGGAUGAGGAUUUGAAGCAUGCACUAAUACAUUGUAUACAUGCACAGAGUUUUUGGGAGGAGGCGUGGACAUGGCUUGGUUUACGACUUCCACCUCUCCACUCGACCACAUGGGCUCGAGACAUAACCUGUGAUCCUCAGUUCACUAUCGACGAACGUGCAAAGAUCACCACUAUCAUGUGGUCUAUUUGGCAUUCUAGAAAUCGAGUGAAACAUGGUGAUGGAUGA
rnacentral:rRNA from 1 species